rnacentral:pre_miRNA from 1 species
UUCCUAUGCACAAACCUCUUUGCGUGAACUCAGUCCGCGAAGAGGAGGGGCAUGGGAGAG